GACUGGCACUUGUUGAACUCCAUACAUACUCUCUAAGUCUCUGACCAAACUCAAACCCCAUUUUUUUUCUUUUUUUGGAUGCAACAGCAGUCGAGCUGAGAGGAGGACGAGCGAAGGGGGGCGAGAUGUGAUGUGAGGUGCAUCAGAUCGAUGCAAGGUUUCAAUGACGACGACUACAUCUCCAUAGCCCUGGUGCUUAGGGGCAUUUUGCAUGAAACUUUUCGGUUGUCGUCGACAAGGUCAGGCCUGGUCUAGUAGGGAAGCGGUGACAACGGCGUGUCGGCGGCUCGUUUUGGCAGCAGCAGUGGUUAUUCCACGUGACAUUGAAUCUCGAUGUAAUGUUUGAGAUACUUUGUACUUCCAAUGAAUUUUUAUAAUAAGAUCUGAUGCCUUUCAUAAAAAAAGCAAUACUGUAAGAACGGAAGUUUAUUGUGAUGAAGAUAACAAGAUCGCAAAAUAUGGUAUCUCAUUGUCCGGCUAAUUAUGUUUGUUACAACGUGCUCCGCAUUUAUUCAUGAACUUGUAUUAGCAGAGUGUAAACCUACUCAAUGGAAUAGAACUCCCUAUUUCGCCGCAAAAGAAAUUAAUCCCUGACAAAGUCUCUAUGUUUUUGUGUGGAGACAAAGUGUGCUUAUUUUUAAGAACAAGACAAAGUCUUGCUUAUGGAGUCAUUUUUGUAGAUAAAAAAAAAAAAGAGACUCGUCAGCAGACAUUUGGUGGGCUCAGCUGCGUAUUGGGCUACUGGGUUGUCCAUGCCUGAGCAAGGCUCGCUCAUCCCCUUCUUCCCCCAACCGCAGUAGCCGGCGGUGCCCCAUCCGCGGUGCCGGCGAACUGGACCCUGCCUCUCGUCUUGCACGCGCUGCCGCCAUUGCUCGCUGCGAAAUCCUCCCCUCCCUAGUAUAGCAUCUCUCUGCCCCACCCCAUCUGCAGGGGUGCGCGCCACCCCGCCGUUCCUAAUCGACGGCCUCUGGAAGGGGGAUAGGGCCAUGAGGCCGCCGUCGUCUUCGCUCUCAUCCCCCACCCCCACCUCGUCGACAAAGCCAGACAAGUGUGCAGCCUGAAGGGCAAGGAUGGGGAUAAAUCAUACGAGUUGUUCAGUCAAAAAAGAAUCACAUGCGUUCAGUCAAAAAAGAAUUCAAAGAACGGGCAAGAGUGAUCACUUUGCAAGAAGUAGCGGGUGGUUGGGGUCAAGCUGAAGGCAGCUGAAGCUGCGGUGGGCAGCUGCCUGGGAGCAGCUGGAUGCCUCGUUGACUGGCCAUCAACCAUAUGGAGCCUUGUCUCACUAACCACAUAACGCUGUCAGGUUUGCUCCCUGACGAGGGUGGCGGAAACCUUGUGUUCUUUGUGGACAUCUGUGUCAACUAGCGGAAGGUAAUUGUGGCGACUUUUUUUUUUGUACAUUUUGCAGCGCCAAAACUGAGGUUUCGAGCUAUGGUGAGUGUUUUUUUGUGUGUGUGUAGUUGACAGAAUUGUGGUCGGCUGCUUGACCUUAGAGCAUCACCAAUUGCUUACCUAAAAUGUACUAGUUACCUAUAUGGCUUUUAGGUAUGGACGCCAAUAACUAGCGAUCGUUCCCAGGGGAGGAAUCCUCAUGAACGAAUCGUGAACGUCGCUCGGGUGUGCUCACUGCCCACCAGCGGUGUGCCUCAGGUGCUCCUUCUAUAAAAAUAAACAAUUUCGUUUUUUUUUGAGGAAAAAUAAACAAUUUCGUUGAUACAAGCAAGUAAAUUUUGCCAUGUAAAAGGUCACAUGGCAAAAACUAAACAAAAAUAUGUUUAUUUACCAAAUAUGUAUAGCUACAUGGCCAAAAAAAGUUGUCGUGCUCUAGAGAAUAAAAGUACCACAUAUUUUUUUUAAAUAAAUAAAUCAAGUGUAAUGUAAGGCACAUAAAAAUGCAUGCUUGUACAAAAAAUAUAAUACAUCAAGUCGGAGCAAUUAUUAAACUAAUAAAAGAUAGAACUUGACAUAGAGAAGAAAAACUUAACAAUUAUUUUUGUGCCUAAGUUGACAUUAAGUAUAAGAUGAUGACAAAAGAAAUAUUGAAAAUUAAACUUGUGAAAAAUUAUAAUGAAAAUAAAUUUGCCAUGGGAUGUUCAAAUAAUUUUCUAUGAUAUACCAAAAAGAAAUUACCAUGCUUUGUUCAACAAAUUUCCAUGUUUUGGAAAUAGAAUUUAUGAUGUUGUAUGCAUUAAAAGUUGCCUUAGUUUGUACAAAACAAAUUCGCCGUGGUCCAAACAAUAAGUUUGGCAUUCUUUACAUUUUUGCCAUGGUCCCAAAAUUUAUCAUGGUCUAAAAUAUAAUUCCAUUUUUUAAACAAUAAUUUUUGACAUGGUUUGAACAAUAAAUUUGCCAUGGUCCCAAAGUUUAUCAUGGUCUAAAAUAUAAUUCCAUUUUUUAAACAAUAAUUUUUGACAUGGUUUGAACAAUAAAUUUGCCAUGGUCCCAAAAAUUAUCAUGGUCUAAAAUAUAAUUUUUCCAUGUUUUAAAACAUAAAUUUUGACAUGGUUUGAACAAUAAAUUUGCCAUGGUCCAAAGUAUAAAUUUGCCACGGUCAAAAAAUAAAGUUGUCAUGGUUCAAGAAAUAAAUUUGGCAUGGUAUAAAUUAUAAAUUUUCCAUGGUCCAAAAAACAAAUUUGCCAUGAUUCAAACAAUAACUUUUCUAUGGUUCAAAAAAAAAUCCAUGAUCCAAAAUGAAAAUUUGCCAUGGUCCAUAAAAGUAAAAUUUGCCAAAUGGUCUACAAGGGAAAUUAUGAAUGUUGAUUAAUUAUAUAAUACAUCUAACAAUAUUGAUUUUGUGUUAUGAAUGUUGAUGAAUUUUCUUAUAAACUUAGUCAAAACUUUACAACGUCCGACCGAAGACAAAUCUUAACGUAACAUGAUACCAGAUCAGACUUAUAGACAAAAACAAGUCAACGGCUAUCAACUACGAGGAUGUGGAGCAAACAAGCUACUUCUUCUUUUUAUUUUGAGGCAAACAAGAUGGAUCAUGAUAUCAGGUCAAGCGAAAGCCCACCUGGCCUUGAUAGGGCCAGACAACACGGCCCAACAUGUUCAUGGCCCAGACCGGCCAGAGAGAAAAUCGACCGGGCCCGUCCCCUUCCUCCGCCGCACUGCCCGGCGGAUGCUGCCGCUCCGGUGGACCAUAUCCCCACUUCUGAUGGAUUCCGGUCGUCCCUGCGCUCCUCUGGCAGGCCGCCGCUCUUCCGUCUCCGGUAGCUCACUGCCGCUGCCACCGCAUCGACAGGUUUGAUUCACUGAAUACUCCAAUCAACUACAGAUUUGAGGAUCCUCCUACCAAUCAACUGCUCGUGCAAGGAUUCUGAGCGCUGGGCGGCGAGGCGAAGAGCUCAGAGGAAUAAUCCAGAGGGGACGCACCAUUGGCACGCCAGAUCACCUGUAACACUGGACCCUGGAGGGGCGCUGGGGCAGCAACGCGAAGGGUAUCUGUGGGGUCGAGAUCGCUAUGGAACAGGAUCAUUGGGGCCAGUGAGUUGAGCUGGUCAGCGGCAGCUGCGUCGAAGCAGCUUGAGGAUUGGAGGUCAACAAUGGCGGCAAUGAAAAGCAGUGGCCCUGCCUUUUCGUCAAAAAAAAAACAAUGGCGGCAACUCUUGGGUGGUGGGCAGAAUGCCUCGCGCAUUAUUUUUGUGGUUGGGAUGUAGGCACUGUCAUAUUCAACCCAUCUAUCUCAAUUACAAGUUGUCAUGUAAUCCAAGCUUUUUGGAAGUGAAAGAUUUGGAGGAAUAGAGGAGCUCAUCAAGGCCACAAAAGAAAGCAUGCUGUAGAUCACCAUUCAGCAGCCCAUUCGAGGAUAAUUAGGCCGCGCUUGGUAUGGAUGUAACAGAAUACGGGUGUAAUUUAUUUACACGUGUAACUUACAGGCCAAGAGCUGUUUCCAGGUCAAAAACAAAACGACGAGCUGAUGUCUGUAUUAGUUUUACAGGGGUAUUUGAAAUGGAAAUGAUAAUCCAAACGA